GCCGUCGUAGCUCAGUGGUAGAGCGCACCCAUGGUAAGGGUGAGGUCAUGAGUUCAAUCCUCAUCGUCGGCUCCA
rnacentral:tRNA from 1 species